UGGAUCUUCCACAAACUGCAGUACCAAUUCCUUCUGUGGAACUGCUCCUGCAUCUGAGCCAGAAACCAAGGCAGUGGUGGAUUUAAUCGAGAAGAGGAAGUCUGACAUUAUUUCCUACCUAACGAUCCACUCAUAUGGUCAACUCAUCCUGACUGCUUAUGGAUACACCACAGAACUUCCAAGGAAUUAUAAUGAAAUGGUGUGGAUACUGGGCAUUAACUAGUUUAGCUUUCUAUCUAAGACUUAUGACUAUGGACAUUUGGAUUAUGUAAUGAGACAUUUACUGUGCCACCACUUGAUCAAUGUUGUGCUGAAUGUAUGUAAGAUAUAUGUAUAUGAGUAUAUAUAUAUAUAUAUAUAUAUAUAUAUAUAUAUAUAAACAGAUCAUCUUUUACUCCUUAUAUGAACCUUUUAAGUGACCGGUGCUUGUCAGCCACAAUCCAGAAACAAGUAUAUAGAUAGCACUCACAGGACUUAUUAAAAAAUAUAAAAUAUAACUUUUAUUUAGCUCAAAAAAAUGAAAAAAAUCAAUGUUUUACAAUUAAAACUUUUAUCAGGACAGAGCUUGCACUGUCUGUAACAUAUAUAGACAAUAUAUACCCCCAGUAAAUUAAACACCCAAGUACUCACUACCUUACUUUGCACGAGUUAUUCCAGGGACGACCAUUGCCGCUUUUAAACUCUAACCCAGCGUGUACACGUGAUCACGUGUUCACUUGGCUCCGUAACAUGCCACUGAGAACAUCGCCAUGGUAAGUGGUCAAGUCCCCUUCCCAUCCAUUAAAUAACUGGUGUCAUCCUUUACUUAACCAUCCAACCACACCCAUCCACAUGAUCAUUAAAAUGCCCAAUUACAUAUCUUUGGGUAUUCUUAAAACAUAUAAUACAUGUCUAAUAGGCAAAGUGUGCCCAAUGCUCUGUAUGAGUGUUCUUAAACUGUAAGCAGUGGUCCUCCCUUUACAGUAAGAAGUGUGGGAACUUAAUUCCUGAUUACUGAAUACGUAAUAUGCCAGAUCCUGUGACUCUUCAUUUCUUAUACCACCAUACUGGACUGUAUUUACACUAUACAUUUAUCCUCCCAUUAGAUCAAAGUAGCACAGAUGGCAGCCACCGAGUUAAAGAAGAAACAUGGCAUGGAUUACACUGUGGGGACUUUUGCAGAGCUCCUAUGUAAGAGUCAUGGAAUUAUCUUAUGACAUUCUGAUAUUGUGCAUUUAUUCGACUUCCAUAAAUGUUGCUGUCGGUCUAUGAUUAUAUGUUGUUGGUAUGUUAUAUGGCACAAUAUUGCAUAACAUGGCUCUGAGUUGGUGCAGAUGAGCACAUUCCUAAUGCCACUCUCUAAGUAAUUAUAUUAGCCAGUUGAAGACUGUGCCAGCCAGACUGCAAAUAUCUCAUAAAAAGUUAAUUAAAAUCUAAUUUUUUGAUAGCUUCCCGAAAAGGGGAGGUAUGGUUCUGUGACAGCCUUUUAUUGUCCACCCAUUAUCUCCUCCAGCCAUAUGUGCUAUAAAGAAACACUUCAAAUACCAUAACCAGUACAAUGCAUUGUCGUUGUUAUGCCCAGAGUGCCCAGGGUAAGUACUUAAACCAAACAGUACAGGGCUUAGCUGACUGGCUUAAAACAUUGCUCAGCUAACACUCUCAGCCCAUGACCUAGCUCUGCAUGGCAUGCUUUAGCUCAAUGGCGGCUGAGACCGGUGGCCCUAUGCAAUCAAUUUGACUACUUAUCUCAGGAAGGCACAAUACUAUGGUGCUUUGAGUGUUCCUUUAAAUGAUACUCCCAAAUGAUUAUGGAUAGAGAGUAUCGAACAAUAGCCUCUGAAAAUAAAUAAAGGGUGCUAUCCUAAAGUGACAAUCCCCUAAAUCAGGGGUGCCUAAAAUGUAGAUCCCCAGAAGUUGGAGAACUACAACUCCCAUGAUGCUUUGCACGCCUUUAAACUGCUUUAUAAUGACAAAGCAUUAUGGAAGCUAAAUGAUAAAACGAUAGGCAUCAAUUUAACCCCUUAAGGACACAUAACAUGUCAUGAUUCUCUUUUAUUCCAGAAGUUUGGUCCUUAAGGGGUUAAAGUAACACAAAAACGUUGUUGCUUAAAAGUCAUAAUAUAAUUGUCUUGAAGUAACUUUAUACAAAAGUGUUUUACUGUCUUCAUUUGUUCAUGUUCUUUCAUUUAAUGAUAUAACCCUAAAGAAAAAGAAAUAUCAAAAAAAGGAACCAUAUCGUGUUCAGCUAGUAGGAUAGAUAUAAUUUGUAUCAAUAUAUAUAUAUAUAUAUAUAUAUAUAUAUAUAUAUAUACAUAUAUAUUUUUUUAAUUUUUUUUUUAAACCAAGACCAUCUAAAGAAGGCAUGCUGUGAGAUGCUAAAAUUCUAGUCAGCAUGGCCUAGAACUCUCUAUUAAUUCAGCUGAACAUAAGAUGCUACAGACAGAGUACAGCCGUUCUUCCUACCUGCAGCUCCAGUACAGUAUACACAAAGUGUGAAAUUUUAUUGGAAUAAAUGUGUUUUUAUAGGUUGGUGCAGAAAUGAACACAGCACAAGAAAAUUUUAUUCUAACACGUUUCUGUCCAGUGCUUAACUGUGGCAGAAUUAAUGUAUUUUCAUUAUUAUUAUUAGUUGUUACACAUCUUAUUACUUAGUUUUUUUGUCUUUAUUGUAUUGAACGCUUAUUCAUAAUUGUAAAUUCUUUCUACAGAUAAAGCUUCUGGAACCUCACAAGAUUGGGUACAUGAUCUAGGGGUAGAUUUCUCAUUUACUCUGGAGUUAAGAGACAAUGGAAAUCUCCAGUUUAUUUUGCCAGAGGACCAGAUCCGUCCAACUUGUGAAGAGACAAUGGCGGCAGUGAUGACAAUUAUAGAAUAUGUCAACGACACAUACUUUCCGAAUAAGGCAUCAGCUAUUUCUACUUCUCUCUGGCUGAGUCUUCUCACAUAUGUUUUUCUUGAAAUCCUGUGACCUUUUGUUCAUUACAUUUAUUUUAAAAAGGGAAGUGCCUUUUAGGGACUGACAAAUGUUUUUUUUAGCAUUUGCACAAAUACACUCAAAUGUAUGUUGCAUUCAUAGGAACGAUGUGCAAAAAAAUGAUUCAUAAACAUUUUUAAAUAAUUUGGGCAAAUAUUGGGUUUUGUCAGUUUCAUGUGACCAACAGUCAGUGGUGGAACUACUACUGGUGCAAACGGAGUGGCUGCACUGAAGCCCUCAUACUUAGGGGGCUCAUGGGGUGGCCAAAUCACUUCGGGCCCUCCGAUGGCAAAAGUGUUUUCAGGGACCUGGUUAGUGCUGUGGCCCUUUAAAAGUGCGACCGGGCCCAUAUAGUAUUGACAGCGCUGGGAGGAAGUGACAGCCAGUCAUUUCCUCCCAGCUAGUGCAAAGUCACAAGGGAGGGAGACAGAGAGAAGGGGAGCAGAGUGGGAUUCUCUGAGUCAGAUCCUCAGACUCCCAACUAGCCAGCUGACUUGACUCAAAGGAAGUCACCCUCCUGCACCCAAAAGGUAGGAAACAAGAGAGUGGCUUAAAAUAUGUACAUUUUGCCUGUAUGUGUGUCUACAUAUGAAUAUAUCUGUGUGUCUGUAUGCGUAUCUAUAUGUGUGUCAGCAUAUCUAUCUGUAUGCCCGUGUGUCUGUAUCUGUGUCUUGUAUAUAUCUGUGUAUCUGUAUGUGUGCAAGUAUAUAUGAGUGUCUGUGUGUAUACAUUUCUGUAUGUGUGUCUGUGUAUGUUUAUCUGUGUGUAUGCAUGUCAGUGUAUCUAUCUGUAUGUGUAUCUGUGUGUAUGUGUGUCAGAGUAUCUAUCUGCAUGUAUAUCUGUGUUUCUGUGUGUCAGUGUAUCUAUCGAUUUGUGUGUCUGUGUGUCAGUGUAUCUAUCUGUAUGUGUAUCUGUGUUUGUGUUUGUUUAUGUCAGUGUGUGUCAAUGUGUGCAUCAAUAUCUGUAUGUGUGUUUGUGUUUCUGUGUGUCAGUGUAUCUAUCUGUGUGUGUCAGUGUGUGCCCCUGUGUAUAUGUAUGUGUCUAGGUAUCUGUAUGUGUGUGUCAGUAUUUGUAUGAGUGCUAUUGUGUGUAUCUGUGUAUCUGCAUGUACGUCAGUGUGUAUCUGUAUGUGUGUUAGUGUGUGUAUCUGUAUGUGUGUCAGUGUAUCUGUGUGUGUGUGUGUGUGUGUCAGUGUAUAUGUACAUACAUCUCAGCAUUCAAACGCCAACACUACACACAAAUUCAAACGUCAACACUGCAUACAGACACAGCCCUACAUUCAAAGUCAAAUACUACACACUAGUAAACCACUGCUUUCAAAUGGUAACAGUACAUAAAAACACACACAACUCACAAAUACACCAAUACAUUCACACACACAUACUCCAUAUAAAAACAUGCUGCCCAGUGCUAAAAAUACAACCUUGCAAUGAUGAUCAAAUGGUAGAUCCUUUUUUUCAUCUUUGCGAUAGAGGGGCCCCAAAAGAAUGUUUGAGCCAGGGCCCUCUCUACUUUAGUUCCGCCACUACCAAAAGUUAUGUACAUUUGUGUGAAAUGGAACAAAGCAUUUGUCCAUCCCUUCAGUGUCAUUUUAGUGAGACCAGAAUCCGUGCAGGUGAAUUAUUCUCAGGUGCUUUUAGAAAUUACACAGAACCACUUGGGUGUGUUAAUAGUAUAAUCUUCCAGGUAUAAAAACAGUCCACUGGCAUUGUGAUUCUUUUUGCUGGGAACAGGGUAUUUUUAAACAGCUCUUUCACUUUCAUGAAUAAUGAAUGUAAAUAUGAAAUGUAAUUAAC
rnacentral:lncRNA from 1 species